rnacentral:rRNA from 1 species
CCUAGCCUUGGAGUGGGGAAUAACAGCUGGAAACAGCUGCUAAUAGCGCAUAAUAUAUCUGGGUCGCAUGGCUCUGGAUAUCAAAGAUUUAUCGCUCUGAGAUGGACUCGCGUCUGAUUAGCUAGUUGGUGGGGCAACGGCCCACCAAGGCGACGAUCAGUAGCCGGACUGAGAGGUUGGCCGGCCACAUUGGGACUGAGACACGGCCCAAACUCCUACGGGAGGCAGCAG